CAAGUGGCUAGCUACUUCUUUUCUGUUCAUUUGUCUUCCCCAUCGAAGAGUUACACAGUAAGGAAGCAAGUGAUUGAUUGUGGUCAAAAGACAUGUCCAGAUAUUAGUAUCAUGCCCACUUAAUGUGUGAUGCUCUGGUGUUGGAGGAACAGUUAUGCUAAACAUGUGUUCUUCCAACUGGAAACAUGCCAAACUGCGCAAUUGUUACAUAUUCCUGAUGAUCUUAUGGAGCAUUUACACAUUUGGACCUUCAAAGCUCCUCUGUUUUCAAAUAUCUAGGAAUGAUCUUGGAUUACAGAGAAACUGAAGCUCUUGAAAUCAUGAAGAGUGAUGUUAUAGCUGUCUCGUCCGGUAGUGGGAUGGUCAUUGGGAACUAUGGAGGAUUAACUAGCAAGGAUGCUAUGCUGGUUAUUUAAGGUUUUUUGCUGCCCCAGUGCUCCAGAUUUACAACCCAGUUAGAUCCCUGAUUGAGGUAGGAUUUGGUGCAGACAAGAGAUCUGAUGUUCGGCUAUAUUAUGGUGCACAGAAUUUGAAGAGAAUGGCAUACCAGGAUAGGUUUGAGAACUGGGCAUCCUCUGGGGUUAAGGUUGUGCUGGUAUUGUCUCAGCCUGAUGAUGGUUGGACAGGCGAACAUAGCUAUGUUCAGGUAUUGAUCUUUCUUCAACUAAAGCAAAAGCAACAAGCAGAAAGACAUAUUUUGGCAUGCUUAUCCCAUUUAAAGUUCAAUUGCUAUCAAUUAAUUAAUUUUAUUAAGCUUCCUUUUAUUUUGUGCUUGUUGCCAUUUUAUUCUUAUAAGAUCAUAUUUUUAACUUAUUGUAGCUUCAUAAUUAUCUCUUUCUAAAUUAUCGGAUUGUGAAGUACAGUUAAAUCGGAA